AGCCUCCCAAAGUGCUGGGAUUACAGGCAUAAGCCACCGCGCCGGGCCUAUACACAGAUUUUUAAUUUUGUGAGAAGUCGGGGGUUGGUGCUGUAACCCUCGCAUUGUUCAAGGGUCAUCUGUAUUUAGUUUUUGAAUUCUUCUCCUUGUAGUUCAUUCACUCUCUACUGUCUCAUUAAGUGCUUUCAUUCCUUCACUUGCCAAGAAACAUAUGAUAAUUUUUGUAUGUUUGUUUUUUCAGAGGUUCUUCUUGGAAUCUUCCUAAUGUUUCAGGCCUAAUGUUUCAUUCACCUCAUGAUACUCUUCUAGGGAGUGUAAUAUGUACCUUCUUUGACAAAUCACACUUGGGCCAGUCUGCAGGAUGCGCAGAAGCACUCCUGGCUGCUCUUGUAAAGAACCGGAUCUAAAGAAAAGGGCAAGCCUCAAAGGUACACUCACCAGGCUCCGCUUGACACCUAGAAAGUUUUCAUUUUUAAAAAACCAUUAAGCUCUGUUAGAUUUGUCAGAGCCUGUACAAAAAGUACUUUUUAAAAAAUGAAGGUUAUUUAGGCUGGUUUCCAUUACCUGCCAUUUGAAGAACUUUAAGUGACAAUCUAACCAGGGUUAGAGGAAACCAGACAGUGAAGAAGAAAUUUAAACUGUUCUCUACUUUAUAUUACUUUUUAGUUAGCAAAGUUUUGCAAUUAGUAGUCUCAUCUUGGACUCAUGUAUUUCAACUACAGUUUUUCUGUUUGUUUUUCCUCAUAACAUUAAUAGCAGUGAACGAGGAAGUAGUUAUUUUUAAUUUCAAGUUGACACCUUGAAAACAUAGUAAAACAGACGGUUUUUCAGCAAAAUUUAACUUACAUGAUAAGUGGGAGUGGAUGUCAUGUGCCCACUUUUGAGUGUUAGACAAAACUAAGUUCAAAGAAGAGCAUCACGACCUCCUCAGUGUGUGAAUUUGGCAAGUUACCUAACUUCGUUGAGCUUUCAUGUCUUUAUUUGCAAAAUGGAUAUACCAAUAUUUUAUUUGUUUUGAUUAAAUAAGAUAGAUAAUAUAAAAUUCCUUGUACAUAGAAGACACUUCUGUAAGUAGUAGCUACCAUAUCAGCAUCAAAUAGCGCAGCCAUUAGAGGAACUCCUUGGUUUACACAGGGCAUCUUUACCUUUGGGGUCUGAAGGGGCAUCAGCAAGUCAGUGUAGAUAAGACUUAUGUGCUUUGUGGCUGGGCGUGGUGGCUUAUGCCUGUAAUCCCAGCACUUUGGGAGGCCAAGGUGGGCAGAUCAUGAGGUCAAGAGAUCGAGACCAUCCUGGCCAACAUGGUGAAACCCCGCCUCUACUAAAAAUACAAAAAUUAGCUGGGCGUGGUGGUGCGCACCUGUAGUCCCAGCUACUCUGGAGGCUAAGGCAGGGGAAUCACUCGAACCCGGAAGGCGGAGAUUGCAGUGAGUUGAGAUCGUGGCCACUGCACUCCAACGUGGCGACAGAAUGACCCUCCGUCUCAAAAAAAAAAAAAAAAAAUUUACGUGCUUU
rnacentral:lncRNA from 1 species